UCAAUUAUCACUGUCGUCCAUGCAUUUCAGACAUCUCAUCUGCAGAAUCUGGAAAAACAUCUGAUCUGGCAAUGUCAGGAAUAGAGGAAAUAGAACCAGGACCAUCAAGGAGUAAGAUUACUCGCCCCAGACCACCAGACAGCAAAAAGGCUAAAGGAUCAAAAUACUCGGCAUCAUUCUUGGAUCCUUUGGAAAUAAGUAUUGACACAUCAGAAGAAUCAGAGGACCUGGAGGAAAGUGACGAUGAGUCAUAUCAACCAAGCUUCAACAUAUCAAUUGG